ACUCCUACGGGAGGCAGCAGUGAGGAAUCUUCCACAAUGGGGGCAACCCUGAUGGAGCAACGCCGCGUGCAGGAUGAAGGCCUUCGGGUUGUAAACUGCUUUUAUAAGUGAGGAAUAUGACGGUAACUUAUGAAUAAGGAUCGGCUAACUACGUGCCAGCAGCCGCGGUAAU
rnacentral:rRNA from 1 species